UACGAAGGGGGCUAGCGUUGUUCGGAUUUACUGGGCGUAAAGGGUGCGUAGGCGGUUGUUUAAGUCUGGUGUGAAAUCUCCCGGCUCAACUGGGAGGGUGCGCCGGAUACUGAGGGGCUAGAGUGUGGGAGAGGAAAGUGGAAUUCCUGGUGUAGCGGUGAAAUGCGUAGAUAUCAGGAGGAACACCGGUGGUGUAAACGGCUUUCUGGACCAUAACUGACGCUGAGGCACGAAAGCGGUGGGUAGCAAACAGG
rnacentral:rRNA from 1 species